rnacentral:snoRNA from 1 species
GUAAACUUUUUAUGAUGAUACACCUAACAACAACAACAUGAAUUUCUUCAACCGAUCAACUCAUGAGGAAUCCUUAUUUUGACAUAGCUUUUUAACCCUGAUCCUUUUAC